rnacentral:lncRNA from 1 species
UCUUGGGCAUCAUCUAGCAUUGGGCGUCUCUCUCCUCUUGGCAUCCUCCCUCUUUUUAUGGCGACGUGUGGGCUGUUCCAAGGGCUUGAGAUCAGAUCUCAAGUAUUUUUCUCCAUCCUCGCUGAAGAAAAGUUCAUCUCUCUCUCCUACAGCAUUUGAUGUGCACACGAAGUAGAGGAUCUAUGCAUCUGGAUCUCGCAAAGUAAAUUGAUUGAGGAGCUUCUUUAAUCUUGAUC